UGGACCCUACGGGAGGCAGCAGUGGGGAAUAUUGCACAAUGGGGGAAACCCUGAUGCAGCAACGCCGCGUGGGUGAAGGAGCGUUUCGGCGCGUAAAGCCCUGUCAGCGGGGAAGAAGAAAGACGGUACCCGACCAAGAAGCCCCGGCUAACUACGUGCCAGCAGCCGCGGUAAUACGUAGGGAGCGAGCGUUGUCCGGAAUUACUGGGUGUAAAGGGAGCGUAGGCGGGCGAGAAAGUUGAAUGUUAA
rnacentral:rRNA from 1 species